rnacentral:rRNA from 1 species
AUUGAACGCUGGCGGCAUGCCUUACACAUGCAAGUCGAACGGCAGCACGGGGGGUAACCCCUGGUGGCGAGUGGCGAACGGGUGAGUAAUAUAUCGGAACGUGUCCUGUAGCGGGGGAUAACCUAUCGAAAGAUGGACUAAUACCGCAUACGACCUACGGGUGAAAGCGGAGGACCUCAAGGCUUCGCACUAUAGGAGCGGCCGAUAUCGGAUUAGCUAGUUGGCGGGGUAACGGCCCACCAAGGCGACGAUCCGUAGCUGGUCUGAGAGGACGAUCAGCCACACUGGAACUGAGACACGGUCCAGACUCCUACGGGAGGCAGCAGUGGGGAAUUUUGGACAAUGGGCGCAAGCCUGAUCCAGCCAUGCCGCGUGAGUGAAGAAGGCCUUCGGGUUGUAAAGCUCUUUCGGCGGGGACGAAACGGUUCGUGCUAAUACCACGGACUACUGACGGUACCCGCAGAAGAAGCACCGGCUAACUACGUG